rnacentral:rRNA from 1 species
CUGGCGGCGUGCCUAAUACAUAGCAAGUCGAACGGUCUUUCUAUGGAAGCUUGCUUCCACUGAGAAGAUAGUGGCGAACGGGUGAGUAACACGUGGGUAACCUGCCCAUAAGAGGGGGGAGUAACAUCCGGAAACGGGUGCUAAUACCGCAUAGUUUUCUUGAUCGCAUGAUCGGGAAAGGAAAGACGGCCUUUGUGCUGUCGCUUAUGGAUGGACCCGCGGCGUAUUAGUUAGUUGGUGAGGUAACGGCUCACCAAGACGAUGAUACGUAGCCGACCUGAGAGGGUGAUCGGCCACAUUGGGACUGAGACACGGCCCAAACUCCUACGGGAGGCAGCAGUAGGGAAUCUUCCGCAAUGGACGAAAGUCUGACGGAGCAACGCCGCGUGAGUGAAGUAAAAGGGUUUUCGGAUCGUAAAACUCUGUUGUCAGAGAAGAACAAGUUGGAGAGUAACUGCUCCAGCCUUGACGGUAUCUGACCAGAAAGCCACGGCUAACUACGUGCCAGCAGCGGC